rnacentral:tRNA from 1 species
AGCAUUUUAGCUCAGAUGGUAGAACACAUCACUCGUAAUGAUGAGGCCUUCGGUUCGACUCCGAUGAACGGUU